GAUGAACGCUGGCGGCGUGCCUAAUACAUGCAAGUCGAGCGAAUGGAUUAAGAGCUUGCUCUUAUGAAGUUAGCGGCGGACGGGUGAGUAACACGUGGGUAACCUGCCCAUAAGACUGGGAUAACUCCGGGAAACCGGGGCUAAUACCGGAUAACAUUUUGAACCGCAUGGUUCGAAAUUGAAAGGCGGCUUCGGCUGUCACUUAUGGAUGGACCCGCGUCGCAUUAGCUAGUUGGUGAGGUAACGGCUCACCAAGGCAACGAUGCGUAGCCGACCUGGGAGGGUGGUCGGCCACACUGGGACUGAGACACGGCCCAGACUCCUACGGGAGGCAGCAGUAGGGAAUCUUCCGCAAUGGACGAAAGUCUGACGGAGCAACGCCGCGUGAGUGAUGAAGGCUUUCGGGUCGUAAAACUCUGUUGUUAGGGAAGAACAAGUGCUAGUUGAAUAAGCUGGCACCUUGACGGUACCUAACCAGAAAGCCACGGCUAACUACGUGCCAGCAGCCGCAGUAA
rnacentral:rRNA from 1 species